CGGGGGGCUGGUCCAGUUGGCCACGUCGCCGGCGCCCCACCGGCCGGUGGCGGUGACCCCCGCCAGCUCCGCGUCUCUGCCUGACCCGCGGCACCAGAAGUUCGGCUGGUCCAAGAGGAAAGAGUCCGAGAACUGGCUGAAGCCGAUGAACAGCGCCGGGAUCCAGAUCUCAGCUUCUCGCCUUCCCUGCCAACACUACAGGCCUACAGAGGCUAAGUCUUUCGUAGACAUAUUUGAUGAUUUUCAAGCACCUGGUCUUGGGAAUGUCCACAUGGUCCCUAGAAGACUAGUGGCAGAAGAUCCACUCCUCUCCACCAGCAGCAGCAGAAAGACAAUUGCCUGCCCUUGAGGAUGACAGGUGUCAUCUAGGGUGGGAGCUGGCUCUUGCCUUGAGCACAUACUCAUUGCAUUCUUGGAGAAUGAGUACAUCUCUGUUCUACAGAAAAGAACUGGCUCUAGAGCCCAUGUCUCAACCUCCUAUACUUUCUGGCAAGGAUGAUCCUACAAACUGCUGAAGUGUCUCAUUCUGUUGUUAUUUGAACAAAAGACUUUUCUGUUCACAAAUAUUUUCCCACCAUUGAAGUUGGUGUUUGAAAUUCUCACAGUUAGGGUCACUUUUUAAAUAAGUGUAGUGUAAAAUGUAAAUAUACCACCUAUGGGAAGGAUACCCAAAAGCAAUGGUAGAAAUACCUGGGCAGCUUUUAAAAAACACUGACUGAGGCCCAUUCCAGACCAGCUAAUCAGGAUCUCUUGGAGGUGGGACGAUGAGGACUUUGUUCAAGCUCCCUGGAUGGUUCUACUGUGCUGCAGAGGCUGAGAACUGUUGUAUUAAGUUCUUGGAACACAAGGAACUGUUGAGGACAGCUCUGUCUUUCAGGCCAGGGAGCCCUGCUCAAGAGGAGAACAGGGGCCCCAGGAGAGCUCCUAUUCCUUCUCUACUCAAAGUGUGGCUCGUAGACCACAGCAUCAUCUGGCCAUUUGCUAUAGAAACACAGAAUCCUAGGGCCCCCCAAAGACUGUUUGAAUCAGAAUCUGCAUUUUAUAUGCUCUACAGAUGACUCAUGGGCACAUUGCAGCUUCAAUGGGAUGGCGCAAGAUAAUUACGGGGAUGGUAGGAGUCUUCAGUGUUUGCCUUGAGCGUCCUGUCAGUUAUUGCUGUUAUGGGCUGAAGGGCCUUCCCCCGAAGUCCUAUGUUGAAGUCCUAACUCCUAGUACCUCAUUUACAGACACAGUCUUUGUAGAGAAAAUCAAGUUAAAAUGAUGUCAUUAGGGUAGGCACUAGUGCAACAUGACUGAUGUCCUUAGAAAAAGGAGAAAUUUGGACACAGAGAAACAUACUGAAAGAGCAUUGUGUGAACAUGACGAUGGCCACCUACAAACCAAGGGAGAAACCUGGAGUGGAUCCUUCCUGCUCAGCCUCCAGAAGGAAUCAGCCCUACCAACACUUUGAUCUUGGCCGUGGCCCCCGGUACUGAGGGACAAUGAGUUUCUGUUGUUUAAGCUACCCCAUCUGUGGAAUUUUGUUAUGGCAGCCCUAGAAAGUAAUUCCCUUCAGCUGUCUUCUAUCUAUUCUAUAUCCAAACUGCCCAAGAAAGGACCAGAACAGACCUAUCAGCCUCUGUCAUCCCUGAUCCACACGUCAUGGACCACCAACCAGCCUACAGAUUGGCUGCCAGGGGUCAGAAGCCCAGUGCUAACUCCAUCAGCUGUCGGCAGGGUAGAAAGCAGGCCCAUGACCAGCUUUCUUUGGAAGGCUGAAGGGUUUCCCUUUCACGAAGUCCCUCAGUCAGUCUUGAGCACCCACUGUGGCCAACGCACUGUACAGGGCACCGUGAAGACUAAAUUUUUCUUCACUAUUAAACUUUCUAAUAGGCAUUUACAGAUGGACUGGUAGAGAGGAAGUCUCGGUAUCCCAACAGACAGAGGCUUCAGGAGCCACCCACCUCUCUUGAAGUAUCUGCUUAUAGCCUGUUUCUUCAGCCAGUUAUUAUAAGAUCCAGCACCUCUCUGCCCCAAACCCAAACCCAACUUGAAGAGCUUAAUGAGCAACAUAGUCCUGACUGCAGGUUUUGUCGGGAGAUGGAGAAAGGGCUUUAUUGCCCUCACAGAGACACCUACUUUAAUAUGCCCUGCAAACCUCUCUCCCUUUACAAGCUGCCAGGUCCUCUACUUAAUCUUCAGUGCCUGCACUUUAUCUUCCUUUGUGCACCUGUUUCUUUGCACACCUCAAAAGUGUUGGCAGUAAGCAGAUCCUGCACCAUCGGACAAAAGCCGAUUGAACGGGCUUUUGUUAAUGAGCUCCAACCGGAGAUCACGGAGCACACCUGCUCCAGGGCGGGUCACGGUCAUUACUAACCGCAGGGAGGGGAGACCUCACCAUGAGCAGCCAUGGGGUGUUUCAGUAAAACGGUGCUGGGAGCCACCUGUUACGGGAUUUGGGAUUUGGUUGGAAGAUUUGGAGGAGGGUCAAGGAAGCCAGGACUUGCUCUAGAUUGGAAAUUGGACGUUGCCAGAAAGUGGAAGCAAUUCUUUGGCAUCUCAAUAAAUCUCUACAAGGAGGGGAGACUAAAUAGGUGAAGCUGUAGUUGGCAAAGCAGCAGUUGCUCGUUUGAGCCAAAAGACGGGUUUGGGGGAAGUAUUAUUGUGGGUGACACAGUGACCUCAUUUUUGACUGUGCUUGGAUGAAAUUAUGGAGUGGCUUUGCUUUAUCUCAUUUAUUGUGGUUUCAGAGUAACAUUGGGGAUUAGCAUCUGUGCAGUGGCUGAUGUUCGGUAGGAGAACAGCAUGACCAGGCCAGCCCCCAGGUGUCAGGGACUGUUCUUUUCAAAUUUUCUCAGCACUCAGCAAAAGGAACACCUGUGGGGUUUUGGCCAAUCCUUUUUGCCUAUUGUUUUUCAAGCAGCUCUGGGCAGGGGUGAGGGGCCUCAUUUUAUCUCACAUAUCUCAUGCAUCAGGUGAGGUGCAUACAGUGGGCUUUAUUCUCGAACUAUCAGGACAGUACUUAAUAUGGACACCUAUCCACUGAUUCAGUCAACAUCCAUUUACUGAAGGCCCCUAAGGACCAGGGAUCACCCUAGGUGGGAGGAGGUCCAGGAUGAACAAUGCUGGAUCCCUAAGAUGCCAAGCUGUUCAUUACAUUUUCGGGGGUAGCUGUCUCAGUCAGCUAGGGCUGCUGUGACAAACACCACAGGCCAGGCAGCCCUGCUGAGAGCAGCCCUCUCUGUUCUGUUGGACCCACAGGGGCCUCCUGGUUUGUUCAUUUGUGUCUGCCUGUACCCUAGCUUUACACCCCUUAGCAUCUUCCAUGGGCCUCUGACCAGACCUCAGCCUCAUUGCCAGCCAGCUGAGUGACUUCAGGCUGGUUACAUAGCCUUCCUCAGCUCAGUGUCCUCCUCUGAAAAAUGGGACAAGGCCACCCCCCACCCCACCUCCCCAGGGCUUCCGUAGGAACAUGGGAGGGACGUGUACAGCACGGAUCGCUCCCUUCCCUGUCUUUCCACCAGCACUGAGUACCCCUGAAAAAGAGACAGGAUGCACAAGAGCAAGCCCACCCCUGGCCAGCAAGUGAAGUGCUGAGGGAUUCACACACAUUAAAUUUAAAGUUAAAAAAGAAGCUGUGACCAGGUGUAGUUUAUAACCCGAUAUGCUUUAGAAAUCACUUCAUAUUUAUAAAAAAGGAACCUUCAAAGUCAAUUAUCCAAUCCUCACAUUUUAUAGAUGAGGACACUGUGGACCAGGUAUGAGCUGACCCGUGUCAGUCUCACAGCAAAUGACUGGCAGAGCUGAGAGAACUCAGGCUCUCAGGCAAGACCCUCGGCAGCAUGGUCUGCUUCCUCGGGGCCAGACCAGGGGCACAGAACAACCGACCGUAUCACCUCAACUUAAAUGUUCAUCAUAUUAGCUAAUAUGUGGACAUGGUCUGUGCCAUGUGCCAGGUGGGGUUCUAAGGGCUUUUUCCGUAUUAGCUCAUUCAGUCCUCUUGACAACCCUGUGAAGUAGGUGCUACCGUAAUGCCCUUUUUAAAGAUGAGGAAACCGAGUCUCCAAGAAAUGACUGCCCAGAGUCACACAGGGAUGCACGCAUUUGCAUUGAGGCCAUCUGACUCAGAGUCUAUAUUCUCAGCCACUGUCAUUUACUGCCUUGUCACCAGUGGUUCUCAAAGAGCGACCUCUGGACCGCUAGUGUCUGCAUCGCCUGGGAGCUUGUUAGAAACGUGAGUCGCUGGGUUGCCGGGCCAGCCAGCCAGCUCACAAGCCCCCCAGGCGAAUCGGAUGCACACUUGGUGGGGAGAAGCAUGGCCUUCUUCCCCUUGGUCCCCCAGAGAGCCUUUGCUGCAGGUGGAGAAGGAGACUAGAGACGUCCAUUAGCAAGACUCUGGGAACUUCCCUCAGACACACUGGGAUCACUGCUUUUGAAUUUUAAUGGGUGCAAGAAACGAUCUGGGCUGGGAAGGUGCCAAUAGGUACUUGGUCCAUUUCUUCCUGCAGAAGUAACCUUGGGCUUAUUUAUAUUUUUCCUUCUUUCCCUUUGCCUAAGUACUUACCCAGUGUGGACCAUUGAUAAUCAAUAAGCUUUUAUGGUGUCCCUAACUUACUUGUUUUCCACACAAAGCUAGCCUGAAAGCAUGAAUGACUGAUGGGAACGGGCCUCCUGGGUGGAGACUGUGGGAGAGAAGAAAGGGCCUGGCGGGAGGAGGUGGGGAGACCCAGAACACGGCCUGCUCAGCGCCCCGGGUCUCGCGUUCUUUUUCCCAUUCUCUUCUUUUUGUAAAAGCAACAUUCCUUUCCAUUAUCACUAUUUUAAAAAUGACUUCAAAUAUGAUACUUGGCACUAAUUUUGGAGGUUAGCUUCCAGAGCAGCGAUGAAAACGAUUCAUAAAAAGAUAAAUAGCAGGAAUAAGGGAAAGAAGGGACAGCACGCCAGCUGGCUUAGUGAGGGUUUGAUGUUUUUCUUUUUUUUUUUUGGUGAGGGAAGGAGAAAUGCUUUGACAGUCACACAGGGAAGUGGAUUUGCACCGUAGAGUGACCACUGCAUCUGAGUGAAUGUUGGUGUCUAUUGGGGAAACUGGCACCUAAAAUAUGCAAACUCAAAAAACCCAUUUGGGGGCUUCUGAGGGCAUAGGCUGACUCCCACCAAAACUGGAGAAGCUGUUUCCGGCUCUGUGAGACGGAUGCCCCAGCGGGAAGUGAUGAGGAAGGCCCGUGAGGUAAGGAAUGACACACGGAGGGCAUCUGUCAGCAGGGCCGGAAUCCGCACGUGCGAGCAGAGCUGGUGGCACAAUGAAGCACGAGGAGCAGAAAAGGAACUUUACUUUCUUUUACCCUUUGUUUCAUUGUCUCUCUCCUUAAAAUCUUCGUAACCCCUUCAAGAUCAUUUGACAAGAAGUUAAUCUGUAGCAUCUUGACAAAGAGAAAGGCACAAACUAGUUAAGCAAAUUCCACUCCUUAUUGCUGGGGGUAUGGGUAGGAUGGAUUGGAAAUCCUCACUGUCUUGAUUUAAAUACUGUCAUCAAUCUAACCAGCUAAACUAGAAAGUCUUUCCAAGUUGAGGUGUCCCUGGACCUACUUCAAUACAUAUAUGUAGAAAAAGAAACAAAUUGCUUUUGAAAUCAAAUCAAAUCUGUUUUUUAAGGAGAAUGGAUUCUCUUAAAGGAAGUGUUAGAAAGUAAACACAAAAUGAUGUGUUAUUAAUGGAAAAGCCUCCCCUUUAUUUAGCCUUCGUCUGGAUUUGUGCAAGAGAGCUCAGAGCUGAAUUUGGGUAGAAGGGCUGGGAGAGCUGCAUAGUUGCUCUGCAAAACAGAAUGGGAAGAAUUCAGAGUUCUUGGCAACAAUUGAGGAGGAAGGGAUGAGGCAAAUGCAAGAAGAGGCAUCUCAAAGGGCCUGGGGCAGGCCAUGGGGGCACAGCUGUAAGCAGUGUCUGCCUUGGAGGGGCUGAGAGGGUGUGAGGAACAGUGGAGCCGACUUCAUUCUGACGUGCCCCCUUCCCGACCCCCGCCUUCAGGAAAUGUGCUGGGGACAUCGGGGCUCUGUUGGGUGCUGUUGCUUUGGUGGAGGUCCAGGAAGGGCUAGUCAUCCUCAUGCAGAUCCUGGGCCUAGUAGGGCUGCUUGCACAGGGCAGGGGGCCUGUGGACUGAGCUCACCAGGUGAAAGCAUGGGCUCAGGACCGGCAGCCAUGAGAAACCCUGAGGCUGUCCCUGAACUCUGACAAGCUGUGGAAUAGGGAUUCCUGUAAUCUAGAUGUUAAGGGUCAUGGUGACACCAGCUGGUGUGGGUUACAAAUGAGUGAGAAAUGUCACAACUGACAGCAAUGUUCUGCACCCACCUGCCUAAGAGUAGUGUUGAUAACCUGUUCCCAGUCUUGUUCACAUUAUGCCAGUGUUAUACAGACGUGAUAUGACAUGGAAGGGCAGGGUUAUUUUGUGGAUCUGGAUUAUUACAAUAAUGUUAGACAAUAUUGCAUUCAAGUGACCCUAGGUAGUAACUCCCUGUGUGACUGUUGCAAGUCCCUAGUUCACCGUGCCUUGGUUUUCUUAAUGGAAAAUAAGUGUAACAUGAACAGGCUUGCUUGCCCCCCAGAAUUAGUAGAGAAAUAUACACGUGAAAAAACCUGACUGUGUUUUGAGCCAGGAAAGGCAGAUUCUGAGGUAAUAGUGUGUUGAAAUGCCACCUUUCCUAUUUUUUAGUUUUCUGGGUCCAAACCUGAGUAAUAAAAGCAAAGCACAACCAAAACCAAAAUCAAACAAACACAGAACAACAAAGCAGGGGACCAGUUAGGUGUGAGGCGACCACACAAAGAGGAAGUUCUUUCUGCCUGCCGUCUUUGCCCAGCUCACACUCCUGCCCAUGGUCAGAUAGGUCAGAAGAUGCUGGACUUCUGAGCGGGGCGUUCGGGGCCGGGUGUGAUGGAGCGCGGUGUGCUUCCGCGCCACACAGGUCAGGCGAGGGGACUCAGAGAGAGGCCUGAACACAGAUCCCAGCGCAGAGGGGGUGUCAAGGCCAGGGCCGGAGGAGCUGCUCUCUGAUGGCAGAGGAACGAGAGCCGGCAUCUGUCUCUUGGCCAGUGGCAGCACCAGGGUGAGUGUGGCACAUGGACAGUGACUGAAGCGGCCGGGUGUGAUCUGUUCUCUGGGAACUUGCCCAGGGACAUACUGCUGGGGACCUGGGGACUUCCUGAGUGGGGUCUUUCUCUGAAAGUGGUAGCUGAGAGGAUGCUGGCAGGUGGCCAUGGGCACAGCCUGCAUCUGGGAAUGGGACAAGGGGAGCUUUCUGCAAGGGGAGGUCUCUAUGGAUCCACAAUGCCACCCCCAGAGGCCACCAAUGUGACACUGUAACAUCCUGUACCAUUUUCCUGUGCUUCCUCUUGCCUUCCUCUCCACUCGGGGGGUCAGAGGUGGCUUGAAGAGUGAGUGGAGGCAUGAGGCAGAGAAAUGGCCCGGAAGCCUGCUGGCCCCUUUCUGCAUGCCUGAGCCCACUGCAGGCGAAGCUGGAGAGCAGAAAAGGACUGAAAUUGAUAUCAGACUGGACUUUUUCCACCACAAGACCAUUCGUUAGAAUCAAAAAGGUUAAGACAUCUGUCUGACAUAUAUAGUCUAGGCACAGGGAAAGGAUUCAACCCAGAAGGUGAUUUGAAAAAAGAAAAAAGAAGCCAUUUCAAGGUAUUUUUCCCUAUGAGGAUGACAUGUUCAAAUACCUGGUCACACCUAUGUGACACAGCCCAUCACCACAUGGCGCAGCACAGGGCUACACUACAUGCUUCAUUAGCUUGAUACAAAGCAGUUAAGCAGAUUUGAGCUGGGGUCAUUUUUUGAUAACCAUCUGGAGCUCCACGAGUCCAGUAAAAGUUGUUAUGCCAAUCAGGAAACAUUGUACACUCUCCAGUGAGUCUCUAAAAAUUUUAAAUCAUGCAUAUCCAUUAGUUUAAAAAAAUUAAGCAGAUAUCUCAAAUAUAUUUAUAUUUACAUACUAUUGUGCAAAUAUGUUAAUUAUAAAACAUUGAAACAUACAGGGUUUAGUUGUAGAAAGAGAACAUUUAAACAGAAAGGAUUUCAAUACAGGGAAUUAGAUGCUUACAGAGAUCUGGAAGAAUCCAAGAAAUGAAGAAUCCAAGCUGUAGAAUCCAAGAAAUGACUCCAGAAACCCGCUGCAGGACGGAUCUGCUUCCACAUCUGUUGCAGUCAAGCAGCAGGGCGUUGGGAAGACUCUGCAGUAUCUCUAGGCUCAGGUUAGGAAGCCUCUUCUGGAACUUUUCUGAGUGCCUAGAUCUACCAGCAGCGGUUAUCUACACUGAAUCCCCAACAGGGCCCUCUGUCCUGGGGGCAGGUUGAUUGCACUGGACCUCUUUCAUCCUUGAGGGGACGCAGACUCUUCCUCACAGAAUAGACACGUAUUCUGCAUUAGGACAUCGCCCUCCCUGUCUGUAUUGCCCCCUCCAGGAUGUCCACUGUAGACUCUGGAAUGCCUUGUGGUAUUCCGCCCCGCAUUGCCUCUGAUCGGGGGACUGACUCACAGCAAGGGAAGCGCAGCAAUGGUUUCACGCCACAGAACUAACGGAUGUAACCACAUCCUCCAUCAUCUGGAAGCAGGCAGCUAGUGCAAUUGCAAGGUGCAGUGGCUUACGGAAGACUCAGUUAUGACGCCAGUUGGGACACAACCCAUUGAAGAAUGGGAUUCUGACUUAUAGGCGGUUUCUCCUUCCCAAGAUUCAUGGAUCUAGCAGUCAGGGAAUGGAAGUGUUCCUCUACUAUCACUAAUAACCCACUCAUAGAAAGUUUGCUUCUUUGAAUCUUUGAGCUCUGCUGGUUUGGAGAAUCUUAGUUCCAUCACUGGAUACAGAAUGGUUUGGUUGAAUUGGAUGAUAAGACUGUCAUCUGGCUAUUUUUGGCUCCUUAUGCCACUGAACCAUUGGGCAGAAGAGGUCACUGUACUGGCUGGAGUGAUUACCUGUAAUAACCAAGGGGAGGGGGUGUUUCUGCCACCUGGCAGGGCAGUGAGGACUAUGUCUGACCCAAGGGGAGUCCUAGGGUGACUCUAAAUAUUUCCAUGCCUGAUAGUGAAGGUUAAUGGAACAUUAUAGACCUCCGAAAAAGUGGGGGCUGGACCAUGCAGGAUUCAGACCAUUUUACAUAUAAAGGCUUGAGCCAUUUUCCAGGGUAAUGACCUAAAUGACCAGUUGAAGUUCUGGCUGAGACAAGGGAUAUAUGGAAUGAGGAGGGAGCCGCAGAUGCCAAUUAGAACCUCGAUACCACCUACACAGAGGAGGACUGAAGUCCCUCUGCCUAUUUCUCUUUGCUUCGAUGUAUGUAUCUUCAUGUGUAUAGGAAAAUGUGCCAAAAUUGCAAAUGUCUCCUGCCAGUUGAUUUCUCUGUGGAAAUGAAGGAAAGAGAAAGAGUUCUGUGAUACAAAACAGGUUGAGCACAUGAAGACUGCAAAGCAUUCCACACACUGGAAUUUUCCUUUGGUGACAGCGAUAUGAGUCUGGAAAUGACCUAUGAAAAUUUACCUCAGGAAAUUUAAAGAUAUCCUGAUGAUGAUAUGGACUUCCAGAAGACACGGGCAGCCUUUCCAAAUAAUCUACUUUCCUUAUCCAUCUACUUUCAAUUUUGUUUAAAUAUUACAGAUUAGACUAGGAAUAAAAGCAUCACACACUCAUGA